rnacentral:lncRNA from 1 species
AAUGUAAUCAGAGGAGUCCUUACGAAGAGAGAGGCAGAGAGUCAGAGCUGGAGACCAGCAUGUGAGAACGGAAGCAGAAGCUGAAGUGCUGGGGGGCCACGAGCUGAGGAAUGCAAGGAGCUUGUAGAAGCUGGAAAAGGCUAGGAACGGAUUCUUCUCUAGAGUGUCCAGAAGGAACACAACUCUGCCAUCACCUUGUUUUAAGUCGAGUGAGACUGAUUUUGGCCUACUGACCUCCAAAACUGGCCUGUGAGGAUUCUCAGCCUUCAUUCAGGUUUGGGGAAGAAAGACAACCAGAAGAAGAAAUGUCUAUCAUGGGUGCCCCAUCCCGUGUGCCAGUUCCUUGCCCUCUUGAACGUAAACCAGGAGCAUAUGGAUCCUAUGUGCUAAGAGACUAAGGGGCUGGCCCCGUGGCCGAGUGGUUAAGUUCGCGUGCUCCGCUGCAAGCGGCCCAGUGUUUCGUUAGUUCGAAUCCUGGGCGCGGACAUGGCACUGCUCAUCGGACCACGCUGAGGCAGCGUCCCACAUGCCACAACUAGAAGAACCCACAACGAAGAAUACACAACUAUGUACCGGGGGGCUUUGGGGAGAAAAAGGAAAAAAUAAAAUCUUUAAAAAAAAAAAAAAAAA